GGGGUGAGUGGUGUGUAGUGCGGGUCCACGCGGUGCCGCGGAGCAGGGAGUCGGCUGUGUGUGUGAGCGGUGGGCGGCGGCCCGGAGGGUGUCGCAGGAGGGUCGGACGGUCACCGAUGGGACGUGGCACCAUGGCUGAUGGAGCGGAGGCACUGGAGGCCCGUGGGCCGGGCAGUGCCCAGGAGGCUACCACCCUGUCUACCAUCGCUGUGCAGAGCGGCACCACGCGCAUUGUCAUCGCCCUGCUGCAGAACAAGGAGUGGGUGGAGCUCAAGUGUCUGGAGAUGACUCCCGAGCUCAGUCAUCUGGCGCCCUCUCUGGAGGAGGCACAACAACUUCAGCAACAGCACGAGGAAGUCCUCCAGAAACUGGCGAGCAAGGAGUCGCCGGUGGAGGAGCUGCUGAACCAGGCCGACCAGCUGAUCGCCCGGCAGGACACCAAGGCCUCCACCUACUCGGCGAUGGCCGAGAGCCUGGCAAUGGCCUGGCGCGAGCUCAAUGCCCAGCUGGAGCAGCGCAGACAGGUGCUGGCGCAGUGCGUCCGAUUCCACAGACGGUCGCGUAACUUCAGUGACGUCAUGGACCUGGCAGAUGGCGUGUUCGGCGACGUUUCGAUUCCGACCGAGCCAGCCGAGGCCGAGGAGGCCAUCCGACGGCUGCUCGAUGUACGAAAAGGUGUGCUGGAGGGCUCUAUGCUGACACUGCAGGAGGGCAAUCUUCUGCUGGAGAAGCUUCGCCUUCUGGCCACCAGGGGCACGGUCGACUCACGGCCCAACCAAAUACGAACGGCGCUGCAAACAUCCUGUGUUCAGGUGGAGCGGUGGAUGGAGUCAUUACACGACCGGCGCCGGCUGGUGGACGUGCUCUUCACCAACCGGCGACACAUCCUGGAGCAGUGCCUGGCGCUGGCCGGGUUCCACGCCGACCUAGACGAGGUGGAGCGUCGCGCUGAACAGAGUCGCCGUCAGCUGCUGUCCGCGUGUGAGCUGGGCGACUCGGCCAGCUCCGCCGAAAUUCUGCUGUAUGAACACGCUAAAAUGGAGGCUCAGGCCAAGUCGAUCCAGGACCGCGGCUUGCACCUGCUGCGGGCCGCCGAGGGUCUGGUGCAGAGCGGUACGUUCGCCCGUGACCAGCCCCGCACCCGGGCCUACACGGUGCUGGAGAGGUGCUCGCAGCUGGUGGGGGCCGCCGAGCGCCGAGCGGGCCUGCUGACCGCCGCCGCCGAGUUCUUCAGACUCGCCCAGCAGGCCUCCGACCGCCUCCUGCAGCUGGAGGCGGACCUGCAGGCGGCCCCGGCGGCCGACCAGGGGGCCACCCUGGGCCGGAUCUCGCGCGCCCUGCGAGAGACCGCUGAGCCGGCACUGAUUAGAGGAGAGCAGAUUCUGUCCGAGGCCGGUCACGGUCAGCCGGGCACUGAGGGCGUGACCCGGUGUCUGGACGACCUCCGCCGGCGGCUAGCGACCCUCACCACCCGCUGUCAGAGUAUCCAGCAAUCGCAGCAGCGGCACAAGCAGUCACACGCCGACUUCUUCGACAAGUACAGCCUGCUGUACGGGUGGCUCUCGAACACGGCUGACUCGUUCCUGCGCAGUCACUAUGAGCUGGGCACCUCGCUGGGUCAGGUGAACCAGUUUGUCACCGUACACGAGCAGAUGCAGCGCGAUGUGAUGUCUAAGGGUGAGGAGAUCGACAGUCUGCUGUUCGGCGUGGCCGACGUGGUGCGACACAUGGACCGGGGCCAGGCCAGAGAGCUGGAAGAGAAGACGGCCGACCUGCGGUCUCAGUGGACCGCCCUGCAGCAGGUCAUCGACAGCCGCCUGGACCUGUCUAGGGUGUACCAGCGGUUCCACCAGCAGACGGAGCCGCUUCGGAACUCUGUGGCGCAGCUCAACUCGACCCUGUCGGGCGGCUCUCUGAGUGACGAGCAGCUGAGGAAGCUGGAGGACCAGUGGAUGAACAUGCAGCAGCAGUACCACCAGCUGGCCGCCGUCGGACAGAGGUUCAUCGACAGGUCCUAUCAGGUGCGCGAUCCGUACCUGGACGUGGCGGCGGCGCGCUCGUGCGUGGAGGCUAUCGUGGAGCAGCUGCGGGCGGGUCAUCUGACGAUCACGGAGAACUACGAGCGUGUUCAGCUGACCACCACCACCAUCAAACGGGUGCAGAGACAGUGGGAGCGGGUGCAGCGAGACGCCAGGAAGGUGGAGGAGUCGGUGACUUACCUGGAGUCACAGCUGUACCCGAUCCUGCGCGAGACGGGCCUGUCUCUGGACCAGCGCCAGAGGCAGUGUGAGGACAGGAUGGACCGGGUGCUGCCCCUGCUGCGGCAGGCCCAGGCAGACGUGCAGCAGAUGGAACAGACGGCGCAGAAGGUCUGCGAAAAAGGAGCCGGCGAAACAUCGAGAUCUGCCGAGCGACUGUCUCGGGAGCUCAACACCAGGAAGAACCACCUCACAAAGUGUGUGACGGACUACCAGAACCUUCUGCAGAUGAUAGUCUCCUACCUCAGGAAACUGAAAGACGUGGAAUCGAGCGUUCAGAAGAGGAAGCACCUGGAUUCCUCCCGUCCUCUACCCAAAGAGACAGAGGAGUGCCAGCAGGCGCUGAAGGACCUUGAGACCACGCAGAACGCCUUCAACGAGCUCUUCAGACUGGCCGGCGAGGAGCUCGAGUGUGUGGCGGAGCGUCUCAGACAGGUGGAACCUCCGUCUGCGGCUGACCACGACAUCAGUCAGCUGAGGGAGGCACUCGACAAAGAGUCGAACAGCGCCAGAGAGGCGACCAGCUCCAAGACCAACACGGACACGCCCUCGACGGAGCAGCGGCGCCGCGUGGCCGCCGGUACCCACGUGCUGGUCUACUACUUCCCGCGCCAGAAGCCCCGCUCGCGACCCGUGCUAGAUAGGGACCAGACCAAGUGGGAGUCGGCGCAGACGACGCGGAAGGAGCUGCUGGAGCGUCAGGUGACCUCAGCAGUGUUUGACGCCGAGCUGAGCACCAUCAACAGCCAGCUGACAGAUCUGAGCGACCAGCUGGCCAGGGCCCGCGGACACUACGGCGAGAGCCUGCAUGAGGCCACGCAGACCAAACAGGCCUUCAACACCUUCGAGGAGACCAUCGAGGGCACGGGUCGUCAGAUAGAGAACUUUGUCAGCACGGCGCACGAGUACCUGGGUGGCCCCACUGGUGAGCGGGAGCAGGCGCUGUCGCAGCUGGAGGCCCUCCAGGACCGCUGGACGGCCUUCCAGCGACAGGUGGCCGAAAACAAACACCUCACCGACCUGGCCAUCCAGUACUUCACCCUACUGGAGGAGGCGGAGGACUGGUACAAGUCGGGCGGCCGUCUUCUGGUCGACGUGGCCCGGCAGGUGUCGUGCGUCCGACGCCCUGAGGAAGCCCACCAGCUGCGGACCGACAUCGGCCAGUUCCUGACGCCGGGGGCACAGCAGCAGGCCGAGAGGCUGGAGACGGCCGGAGGACUGGCUCACCAGCUCUACGGCGCGUCGCCGCCCCGCCGGCUGGCGUCCGUCACCCAGGACAGUCAGGAGAUGGUAGAGUCGUUCGAGGCCAUCCGUACCCACCUGACCACACUGGGCGGGUCGCUGGAGCAGCUGCAGCGAGAGCACGACUCGCUCCGGCGAGAGAAGGACGAGCUUAGCGCCGAGAGGGAGGCCGCCAAACAGGAAGCGGAGGUAGCUCGCUCGGCCACUGCAGCGGCGGAUGAGGCCCGCCGAGCUGCCGAGGUGGCCGCUCGGGCUCUGGAGGACAUGCCGCGUCCCAUGACCCCGCUGGUCGUACCCAAGGUGGAUGUCUGCACGGAGACAGUCACCGAGAUUACAAAGGUGACUGUGGACCGCUCGACCCAGGAGGAGCCGCGCUCCACGUCUGACGCCAGCACUCAGGAGUCAGCUCCCUGGGAGGAGCAGGUCAUCCGGGCCUCCCCUCCCAGCGGACAGCAGGUGUCGCCACCGAAGCGACCGAAGCGCGACGAGCCGCCACCGGCGCCGCCGACUUUUACCGAGCCGCUCAGAGACCACACGGUCCAGGACGGAGUGCGGCAUACACUGCAGGCCAGAGUCUCUGGCGUGCCGGCGCCCAAGGUGAACUGGCAGAAGGACGGCGUGUCGUGCGACUCGAAUCCCGACUACGUGAUCGCGCACGAGCACGGCCUGUGCACGCUGACCAUUGAGGAGACGAUGGUGGACGACACGGGCACCUUCACCUGCCGCGCCUGGAACAGCGCCGGCGUGACGCAGAGCUCCUGUCGGCUCACCGUUAGAGACGCGGCCUCUGAGGAGGAGCUGGCGCCUCCGAUCUUCACGCGGCAGCUGACCGACUGCCGUGUUCGCGAGGGUCGCCCCCUGCUGCUGGCGGCCACCGUCACCGGAAACCCUCUGCCCGUGGUGACCUGGCUCAGGGACGGCACCUGCGUGGACGCCUCGCCAGACUACGUCAUCACGUACAACAACGGCGGCUGCGAGCUGCGGAUCGAGGAGGCCCUGCCGCAGGACGGCGGCCAGUUCGUCUGCAGGGCGUCCAACAUGCUGGGAGCCGACCAGACCAGCGCGAUGGUCAAAGUCGAACCGCGGACGCCCUCGGAGGCUCCCCGGUUCACCACACCGCUGAGUAACGUGAUGGCCCGGACCGGUCAGAAACUGCGUCUGGAGUGCGCCGUCCGCGCGCUGCCGCACCCCGAGCUCACCUGGCUGCACAACAACAAACCGGUCAGGGACAACGUCGAUGCCAAGCUCACUUUCGACGGUCGUCGGGCCACGCUUACCAUCGCCGAGCCCUUCCCCAAGGACGCUGGAACGUACACCAUCGUGGCCAACAACGCCGCCGGCCAGGCCACCUGCUCCUGUAACGUCUCAGUCAAGGGCCGUCUGCCGACGGAGACCUCGGACUCUGAGAUGGCCAGUGACCUGGAGCCGGUGAAGCCGAGCAUCCCCGUGCAGCUGAAGAACAUGACGGUCCCGGCCGGGCGGCAGGCUCAGCUCGACUGUGUCAUCACUGGUCAGCCGGAGCCAGAGGUGAUCUGGUACCACAACGACCAGCCGGUGAAGGAGUCCAAGAACUCCCAGCUGCUGUUUCACGGCGACCGGUGCACGCUGGUGAUCAACAGCGUCCGUCCCGAGGACGCCGGCACCUACACGGUGGUGGCCAUCAACUCUGCCGGAGAGGCCACGUCCGAGGCGCGGCUGGAUGUGGCGCCUGAAGACGCCGACGAGGAGCCGCCCGUGAAGCCCAAGUUCGUGAGGAGUUUCAGCAACAUUAACGCCACGGAGGGCCAGCCACUGGUGCUGGAAGCUGAGGUGGCUGAUGAGUCCGAACCACUGGUCAUCUGGCUCAAAGACGGCAGUGAACUGAAGCCGUCCGAGAGCGUGAAGAUCACACGGACCGGGGGAGUGUGCCGACUGGAGAUCGCCAGUCUGCUGCCCCAGCACGCCGGUACCUACCUCUGCCUGGCUUCAAACGCUGCUGGAGAAGCACGCUGCCUGAGCCGGGUGGUCGUCAAGCCGGGCGAACCCAAACAGAAACAAAAACGCCGGGAGGAGUCCCAGCCGCGGCAGGAGAUGCAGCAUGAGAUACACCAGGAAACGUACCAGGAGACAAGACAGGAGAAACAGCAGGAGACGGAGCCCCAGCAGCAGCAAAAGCAGCAGACUCCCGGGAGGAGGGGCUCGCUCCGCCGCCGUCUGCCGCCGUCGUUUGUGCAGAUUUUUGUCGAUCAGGAGGCCGAACCAGGAGACGAGGUGCUCUUUGAGUGCAUCAUCAACGGCUGGCCGAAGCCCACGGUUGAGUGGCUACUAGACGACGGCCCCCUGCCGGCCGGUUUCAACACCUCAUCGGACGGACAGCUACACGUGCUGCGCAUCGCGUGCGGCGAUCACGUGCCCUGCGGCCAGAUCAAGUGUGUGGCCGAAAAUGACAUAGGAAAGGCUACGUGUGCCGCCCAUCUUUCCGGAGCAGACUUCUCCAACGGCUCUACCGGACGGAAGUCUCGAAAAUCAACAAAGAAAACUACUUAUGUGGAAACAAGAGAAGAAACUGAGGUGAUUAACGGGGACCAGCGCCGAGGGAGCAGCGCCGAGCAGCGCUACAGCGAGGAGGAGACUCACUCCGGAGUGGCCGAGGGACGCAAGAAACAGGUGCUGCGGUCCAGCCACGAGAGGAGUAAGGAGGCGCGCCGGCACAGGAUGGAGGACUCGGCGGAGGAGGACGGCGAGCGGCCCGUGCAGCCGCCGCGCUUCACCACUCCGCUGCAGGGCACCGUGGUGCACGAGGGAGAGAGCGUCAAACUCACCGGACAGUACUCAGGGCGCCCAAAGAUCACGUGGUUCAAGGACGGCGUGGAACUGGACGCUGAUUCGAGUGCCGUGACGUCAUUUGACGACAGUCACGUGACCCUGACCAUCGAGUCGGCCGGCGAACAGGACGAGGGCAAGUACACGUGUCAGCUGAAGAAUGCAGCCGGGACCUCCAAGAGCACCGCCGAACUGCUCGUCAGAAAGAUCAUCGAGCCGCCGACGUUCGACCAGCGCCUGGAGGCCCAGGUCGUGCUGCCCGGUCAGAAGGCCGUCCUGGAGGUCAAGGUCAGUGGCCUGCCACCGCCGAAGGUCACGUGGACCCGAGAUGGACGACCAAUCAGCGACGGAGAAAACGGUGUCGUCAUCUCCCAGAACGAGAAUCAUCAUACGCUCACCAUUGAGAACGUGACGCACGACCAUGCAGGGAAAUACGGCUGCUCAGCGAAAAACGACGGCGGCGAGUCGACCUCGAUCGCCGAUUUUCUCGUCACCGAUGUCAUGCCUGACGUCAUCGAGAGACGCGUCAUAUCACAUGACGUUACUGACGGAGAGCCGACGGUGACGGAAACGAAGGAGGUGGUUCCCGCCUCCAGCGAGUCUGCCAUCGACACCGAGGAGGCCAACCUGUCCCCUUCCUCAUCCUCGACCAAACGGCACUCCCACAAACACAAGAAAAAGAAGAAAGACAAAGAUAAGGAAAACGAUAAGGAUGGAAAGAAAAAGAAGUCCAAGAAACACAAGAGCAUGUCUCAGGAAAGCAUGGACAGCGUUGCCGAUUCUGAAGACGCUGCUGCACCGGAGGGUGCUGAAGAACCAGCUGGUGGCGAUGAAUCUCAUCACAAGAAGAGGCGCUCUUCGUCCUCCUCGAAAAAGAAGUCUAAAAAGUUGGCCAAAGAGGAGAGCAGCGAGGCCAUACCUAGCGAUCAUGGACCAGAAGGUAAGGAACCAGAUGUACAAACUGCUGAAGUUGAAAGACCAAAUGUACAGCCCGACUCUGGCAAUGUGCCUGUGCCAGACCAAAAGCAGAAAGAACCCGAGCCCCAGCCGAAGUCGGAAGACGGCGCCGAUGAGCCAAUGCGUGAAGAGCCCGAUGCAGAAUAUAUCGUAGAAGAGCCAGUUGAUAAAACUGAUACCGAAAUAGGACCUACGAGUGAAGAUGAGAUUCAGGGGCUGCGGGAGCGGGUCGUGCCCGUUGACGUUGAAAAGCCAGAAAAUGUUGACGUCAAAGUGGACGAAACAAUAAAGGAAGAGGUCGAGCCAGAUGAAGCAAUGGAAGAAGAUAUCCCUGACAAGAGUCCAGAAGCCGAGUCUCCGGAAAACGUAGAAGAAGAGGUUCCCACAGCUGAGGUCAAAUUGGUUUCAAAGGAACCCAAGAAGCCAAGCCCUCAGGACAAACCUGCACUUGCAGAACAAGUUGAUGAGGAUGAGCCGAUGGAUGCAGAUGCUUCUGAAGAGCCAGCUGUAUUUACCGCGCGACUUGGAGGAGAGGUUGCACCGGAAUCCGAUGCCGAUGGGGAAAUGACUGAAGAGGAGGACGUUCAGGUAACCCAAGUAGUGAAACUAUCUACACGACCUAACGAAGCGGCACAAGUUGAAGAAUCUCGGGAACAAGACGAAGAAGAGACAGGUGGAGACCAGUCAGACCAUAUAGACACUGAAGCAGUAGCAGAGUUCAUUAUCAAAGCACCGCCAUCGAGUGGGGAGCAGGAUGAACAGCAUGAGGAGCAAGAGAUGACAGAGGAACCGGGUCAGCAUUCAACGGUUAUUCCAGAAGCUGAGGCAUCAAAUGACGCCUCGAAAGAAAAGUAUCCAACGUCUGAUGAAGAGGAUUUAGCAGAAAAACCACGGUCCGAUGCGGCUAUGCCAGAAACUGAACUAUCCGAGGAAGCUCCUGCUGAAGCAGUAGAUACGAAGUUAAACGUGGAGCCAGUCACCGAAGCAAAGAUGGAUGACGCUCUCCCUACACAAAAAGAUGCCAAACCAAUUGCAAAGCCGGACGCGGAGGAAAACGUUAGCGAUGAAUCAAGUCAAAUAAAAUCCAAACAUGCUGAAGAAGUAAUUGGAAUGUCUGAAUCCGAGGAAGAAUAUCUCCAAGAUUCCGGAAGACAAUCUUCAGUGGAUGCGGAAGAUAUCCCCACCAUAGAUGAAAAUAAAUCAGAGCCUAAACUAGCUAACGGAGAUGCCAAUGAAGAGCUUGAAGAAGAGCAUCAGCUUCUCCCAGAGGCCAAGGAAGCCGAAGAAGAGAAAGCGAGGAUCCAUUCGCCUCUUCUACGAUCUGACGGAGAAGAGGUUCGCUCUGAAGAUUUCGAAGAUUCAGAAAUGCCGCCUCUAAUCAAGAAAGAACCAUCUCUGGAAAAUGCUCCAACUGAAUCUACGACUCAGGACGAUGCAAACAAAGAAGCUGUCACUAAUGAGAAAAUUGACACUGAAGCUUCUACUUCCAAUGAAAAGCACGUUCGAUUUGGUGGAGAAAUGAGAAGAGAAAUUAGUGACGAUGAUGAGCAUAUGGAGGAUGUUCACCCCGAAGAAGAGCCGCUCUCGAAACAAGAGCUGGAACUGCUGCAUUCCACUAAUGAGGCUCCGACUGAAGAAGACGUUCCGGAGGAUGAAUCUCCAGUUAUGCCUGAACUCCCCGAUCAAGAAGCUGCUAAUGCACCUGAAGUGGUGCUGGAGCCUGCUAAGCCUUACACAGACAUCCAUGGAGAUCUCUCGCUUCGAGCCAAUGUUGCCGUUCAGACUCCCGACAGCUUAAUGUCGUCAGGUCCCCACCUCGGUGGACCUCCGCCAACCAGUGAGAGGCCUCAUGAUCCCGUAUUCGCGGCUGUUAAUCGCUCCUCAGAAAAUGGAAUCUACCAGACCACAGACUCAGAGGCACCUUGGCAGCCCGACGCAACUCCGGCAGAGCUAACUAUCCACGCUCCCACUGAGCCUAUGUUGUAUAAAUUCGCCAAAGCUCCAACAACACCACCUCAGACGGCACCGAAACCCCGUCCUCCUGGCGCUGCGCCCGGGGUCCGUCCUCCCCCAGGUUUCACCAUUCCACCCCCACCGCCACUGCCCCCAAGCACCGAGCCUGCAGAAGCCCCACACCAGAUGACCGGAGCUCCACCCCCGGGCGUGUUCCGCGUGCCGGUCGUGGCGCCAUACGCGGAGCGGAUGGGGGUUCAAACCUCCCAGAGCACCAUGACCACAUUUGGAGGCGAGGCGCAGAUUUCCGCCGCGGUCGGCACCGCUCCUGCUCAAUCGCCCUUGUCUCCGCAGGCGCCAGCAUUUGUGCGGGGCCGCAGUCCCAUCUCGCCAGUACGGCCUCCGGUGGCAAAGUCGCCUCUCUCACCCGUGAGUGGCUAUCAGGGUGUCCCUUCGCAGAGUCUGACUUCCUCUGCACCCCUGCCAAGUUCUGUAUCCAGCCCAGCCGUCAACUCGGCGCCAUGGUACAAGGACGACAAAACGCAGGGCAUUCGAGUUACAUCUGUCACACAUAAGCCGGCUCACCUCACGGUCUCGGCGCUCACAAGAAAAAUUAACAUGCCACCCUUGGCUUCCCACGACGCACCUCAGUACACCACUGAGACGAUCAUGGUCGAAAAUAUAUCUCAACCAAACCAGGGUCCAUCCAUGACAAGCGAAACAGAUGAACAAUUUUCAUCCGUGCAGCAAAGCUAUCAAAGGCAAGAUUCGUCAACUCCGUCUACGCCCUCUGGUUUUGCGCCAGUGAAGGCGCCUGUUUCCCCUCAGCCGCAAUAUCAAAUUCCAUCUUCCAUGCAGAACACCUCAGAUACAUACAAGACGGAAAAGGCGCUCAGCAUCGCGCCAGUGAAAGCGCCGGUUUCUCCGGUCCCCACGUCCACCCCUGACGAAGAGCAACCACCUCGCGGAGUUUCCUCGAUAAUCAAGUCGAUAGAGUCCAACGCUAUUUCAACCUGGAAACCAGAUCGUCCGCCCGGUUUUGCUCCUGUCCGUGCGCCAAUGUCACCAGCUCCCGUAUCUCCAGUUCCAUCGUCUCAGCUUCAGCGUUCUUACUCAGGUGGUCAAGUAAGCAGUAUGGCUUCGUCUCAGACCACGUCCAACGCCAGCUGGAUGACCGACCGAAGAGAGUGGUCGUCUUGUGCUGAGCAGAAGUACGAGGAGACCCAGCCGGUGGCAGCUCCCCCUGGUGUGGUGUACACAUAUGUUGCUCGAGCCGGUCCUGCGCGACACCAACAGUGGACUCCGGUGGAAGAAACGCGCCAGCAGACGUGGCAGCAGGAGCAGCGCAGCGCCCAGUGGACCUCCUCGCAGGCCACCCGCUCUGAUCAGUACGGUUCACCUCGCGCCGCGCUGCCUCGUCGCUCCGCCAGUUCUGUGGGAGAAAUGCGGCGGAGAAUUGACACGGACACGCGGGAGCAGCAACAGACACAGGAUACGUUCAGGCGUCUGGCGCGCGAGCGACAGAGCUCUGCGCCGCCUCCGCCACUGCCACCUUACCCAGAGCCAGCAAGGUUAAAGCAAGUGGUCCGUGCUCCUACGCCGUCCAAAUUCAUCCCCGGACGCUUCUCGGGAUCGCAUUACCACAGCGACCUCGACGAACGCAUCCCGACGCGUUGGUGGCCGGACGGUUACGAGUACAUCGACCGUCGCAGGAUUCUGGUGAGCUUGCCGGAGGCUCGAGGCCGGCAGAGGCGCGGCCGCUCGGUGACACCCCCGUCCGUGUACGACCGCCCGGCGCCAGUCCGGGAGACGCCUCCGGAGCGUCCUCCCGUGGUCGGACUGCCGAUCACCCGCGGAAGGACGACAGUCAGAGGCUCGACGGUUGUCCAGAGAUCAGUCUCUGCGCCGCCACGGAGGAUGUCAGCGCCUGAGGUGCCUCGGGCGCCGCGUGAGAGGGCUCCGGGGAGGAGUGAAGUGGACAGCAACUGGCAGAGGGAGCGGGAUGGAUCGUGGCAGAGGCGGGAGGUCAGACAGGAGGUGACGAGGGCACAGCAGGGAGGAUGGACCCGCCAGUCCGUGUCGCCUGUACCACCGCCAAGGCGGAUGGCGUCACCGAGGCCGGUGCCCCCACCGAAGCCUGUUGCACCACCACCGCCGCCGGUCUCUAACGAGAUCACGAGAACAGCCAACGAAAUUUCAGAAAGCAUGCAGAAAAUGACAAACGAGAGCACGUUCCUGAAGAAGACGCCACCGAUCGUUCACCCUCCACCAGUUGCUCAGCCUGUGAUAAAGCCGGUAGCUCCUCCGAAACCGGCACCACAGCGCAUCUCUAAAACCGAUCAGACAGACUACAGGAGCUCCCAGACGGUUACUAAGACCAAUGAGCAAAGUUUAUACCAGCAGCAACAGCAGCAGCAGCAGCAGCAGCAGCAGCAGCAGCAGCAGUUAUAUGAGCAGCAGCGGCGGCAACAACAACAGUAUCAGCAACAACUGAAACAAGAACAGGAACGACAACAGCAGCAAUAUCAGCAACAAUUAAAACGAGAACAAGAGCAAAAACAACAACAGCAGUAUGAACAACAACUUAAACGACAACAGGAACAAUAUCAGCUAUUGAAACGGCAAGAAGAGGAGAGACAGCGACAGCAACAAUAUCAACAACAACUGAAGCAGCAAGAACAGCAGCAGAAGGCCAUAGCUCGCGUUCCAACGCCCAUCUUGAAGCCAACCCAGCCCGUCUCCAUCCCUCACACCAACCUGACGCAGCUUGGCGUCAACCAGCAGAACUUCUGUGACAAGCAGCGCACACACGAGUCCCUGGACGGUCCGGGCGUGCGGGGCUUCCACGACACGGCGGCGAAGGAGUCGCGCCAGUUCAACCGACAACAGUCGGGCGGUACCACCACGGUCGAAAUGCGCGUCGAGAAGAUGUUCGAAGAGCGCAUGGAGAAAACAGAGUUCACGGACGCCAGCGGAAGGACAGUGACUAUGUCGUCGUCGGUACCGAGCAGGCCGACGCACCUGGCGCUGGCACCAGCCUCACCACAGCCGAUUGUGACCUCUCCGGUGCCAGACCGAGGAUCUCCAGCGCCCAGUUUCCAGCGCGGGUGGCAGCAGCGCUCCAGUAUAUCCAGCUCAUCACGAGGCCGAGGCAGUCCGUGUGGCUACACCUCAGACGCCGGGGGGUACACAUCGGAGCCUGAACUGGUGUCGCUCCCCUCACACAAGAACGUGGCGCCACCGGCGGCCCCUCCGCGCGCCUCUCAGAGUCAGACCAUGACGAAGGGGUACACCGGCUCUCUGGACAGGAGAACAGUUGGUCAGACUCCGCCAUCGUCACUGAACGUGCAUCGAAAGGCAUCAGACGCCAGCGACUACGAGUCCCGACUGGCGACCAAGUGGACGCCGUCCGACGUGGCACACCGCACGUCCAGCCCGUUCCGUCCAGUUCAGGCACCGGCGCCAGCACCGGGCAGCAGCAGUCGCGGCCAGCAGUGGUCCGAGUCCAUGUCCAAGGCGCGCGAAUCCUCUUCCCAGGAGGGCAACACCACCACCCACGUCAAGGAGGAGUUCCACAGCCAGAAGAUGAUGCGGGAGGAGACGACGACCAGCGUGCUGCCGGCCGGAGCUGUCAGCAUGGCGCCGCUGCACUCACCGCUGCCAGCGCGGGCUAUCCAACCCCGUUCUCCGCUGCUUCUUCGCGCCGCGCCGCCCUCCGGCAGUGCGUCCGGGCACGACCAGGAGGACCAGUCCUCGGUGUCUGAUGAUGAGAUCGCCUCCUCCCUGCCGGGCGAAGGUCCUACCGUUUCCCUGCCCGUCACAUCCUCCCCCGUAUCCUGUACGGCUGAAUCGGUGUCGGAGGCGCCAGAGGUGGUGCGAGGAGGUCCACUCCCGCGGCUAGCUAGGUGGUUGAAAAGUCAGGCCGCUGGACUGACCAGGAGAUCGUAGAAAAGUCCGUAUCGUCGCACAAGUGGGAGCGUUCCACGCCGGGCGUCCGCCGGCCCGCCGCGCCCCCUGCCGACUCCGACGACCGGCCGACAGAGCCGUCUGUGAGCCGUCGCGGCAGUCAGGGAGCCCGGCCGGCCGGCGACGGCCCCCGUCAGCCGCCGUACCGCGCCCGGUCACCGCCGCCCAGACCCGCCCGCCGCAGUGAUAGCCGAGAGCGAGACGGCGACUCGCCCUCCGCCAGCGCGCUGGUGCGACCCACCCGCCGAGCAGACGACUCGGCGACGACCACGCGAUACGAGAGCUUUGGCGAGUUGUCGACAAGAGAGGUGUCGACGCAUCACGAUACCUCGACGCGGAAGGACAGCUCUAUGCGCCGAGAGGUGUCGAUGCGCCAGGAGUCGAGCACGACGCGAGUGCACCAGGAGAUCAGUCACCAGGUGGUGUCGCAGUCGCAGCAGGUUCGGAGGGAGUUCCGGCUGUCGGACCUGCCCGACCCGGGAGGACCCCGCCGCGGCCAGCGCGCCCUACCGGCCAGCGGGAGGCAGUACUCACCCUCGCCCGAGCCGGAGUCGAUUCCCAAACGGAGGGAGACUCCGGAGCCGAGCGAGCGGCACUACAAGGCGCAGCUGGUGGUCAAACUGUCUGAUGAGAGGACGUCCCCGCCGUCUGAGAGCCCGGCGAAGAAGUCUUCUCGAGCUUCCCAGGACAGGGAAAGGUUCACCCGAUCUUCUGAGGAUAGGGACAGACCCUCGCCGGGUUCAAAUGACAGAGAGAAAACGCCUCUGAACUUUAACGACAGAGACUCGUUCCCGCGAACACAGAAGAACAGCAGGUUGUUUUCUCGCGCCUCUGAGGAUCGGGAAACCUCCCACUACGUCUCUAAGGACAGCGGGCUGUCCUCGCACCGCGUCUCUGAGGACAGGAGUUCGUCUCUGCGCCGCUCUGAGGAGCGCAGUGUGGAGGAGAGGAGUGAGGUGACGCGGACACAGACUGUGAGGAGCAGCGGCCGGGGAGCAGCGCCGGGACGGCCGGAUAGGACCGCGCACAGCCAGAGUCGGUCUCCGUCGCCUCCGGCGCUGCUGAAGGAGGAUCACCCGCAGCGAGGUGGAAAGACAGCCGGGUCCCACUUUAGAACGGAGAGAAUCACCACUGCGAGCCGCUCGUACGGUCCGGUGGACUCUCCCCCAGCACGGGACCGACCUCAGGGAGAGAAGGAGAGGGCGUCCUCCGUGAACUCGGCCGGCCACCGCAGCCACUCGCCCUCUGACGACGAGCGUGGCCCGGUGGACAGCGGUGGAAGGUGGACGGCGGAGGCGGUGGAGAGCGCCCUGCAGCGGAGUCGUCUGAACGGCCGGGCCAAACAGGCCAACGGACGGCACUCGGCACCCGCGGAGAAGGCGCCGAAGGAGAAUGCGGACUCAGCGCUGCUGCGCGCGCCCGUGCUGCUGCGGCCCCUCGCCGACCACACGGUCCGUCCGGGAGCCGUCACCCAGCUGCGGCUGAUUGUGGACGCCCUGCCGCCACCCUCGGUCACCUGGUACAAGGACGGCCGGCAGCUGGAGCCGCGGCCCGACGCGCCCUACGCCAUCUCAGAGGACGGAGGGGUGUGCACACUCUCACUGCCGCGAGCUCAUCCCGACGACUCUGGGGUCUACUGCUGUGUCGCCACCAACCACCUCGGCUCCGUCUGCAGCGAGGCGCUGCUGGCCGUCGCAGGUGAGCUCUAGACUCCUCCCUCUCUCCCUCCGUCGUCCCACUGCCUCCUCCCGGUCGGCGGGAGGCCCUCUCCAAUGCUGGUCAGACUCGUUGCGCAGUGGAUGACGUUUUUAUAGCUGCGCUGCGCGGUGACGAACGUUUUACGGCGGCCGAUAUGGUGAUUACGUUGUGAUGGCGGUCGGUCAAAUAACUAGCUUGUGAUGAUUGGUUGAAUCAUUGGUAAACAAUAGCGGCUUGUCGAACGAUACUGUGACAAAGGGGCUGUCCGAAAUCUCCGCGGCGGUGACGGCGGCCGGCGGAUCGCGUCCCGGCGUGGGAAAAACUUUCACGAACGAUGGAAUCUCUGCGCACUGUGCGCUGGCAACAAAGACGAUACGGAACGCUCGCUUGCGGCUUAGACUUUUUAGACAGCUUCUAGUCAGGACUAGACAUAGUCGUAGACGUUGCAUCUAGCGCUCGGUGCUUGCGGCUGCUGUGGUGACCUCGUGUGAAGGUGUGUUCGGUCGAUAACAUGUUACGUGUAGAGUGUGCGUGGAGCGUGGUAUUUGGACAGCGACCUGGUCGCAUUCGGUGAUGUAAAUAGCACGGCGGCGCCGCGCCGCCUCGUGAUACGCGCCGAGCCUCGUGACUGCUUGUGAUUGACUCCGCAUCUCUGGCCUUUGGUGACCUGUCGUGGCCCAGGUCGGCCCUCGGGUCGACCUGACGUCCGUCUAUGCCGGUACUAAUCAAAUAAAUAACUCACGUGGCAGGCCGUCAGCGCCGCCCGGCGGCAGCUCGGCGAACUACUGGACUGAAUAAACGUUCACAAACACUC